CUCACAAAAAAUGCAAAAUAAAACUACAGUAAAUCAUUCAAAUUUAUUCGGAUCCAAACGAUUUCAAUACAUCUACUAAAUGAAUAUGAAGAAAUUUUCUAGUGUUUCUACUUAGAAAAGCGGACAAUUGUAAUAACCUUUGAUAAAAAUAUGGCUUUUUCAAUAAUAACUUUAUGAUGAGGAGCCAAAGUCUUUACCCUUAUCACUCAGAAUUUGCAGCUUCUUCCCCGUGCUUCUACCAAAAUUGCUUCACCUACUAAUUUUAUCAAAAAUACAAAGGGAAUCAGUGUAUAUUACCGUAAACUUGCAGAAAAAAUUAAGAGUGUUUGGACAUCACUUUAAAUAUUACCUUUGUAGCUAAGCAAAAAUUAAGAGUCUUCUCCUUCUCCGGCGACUAGGGAUUGGGUAUUUUCAGAUUUGCUUGAAUUUCUCUAAGGGGGAGCAUUCUUUGAUAUAUUGAGAGAGUAUUUUAGAUGGGUUUCAAGAGAUAGAAAGAGUUCUUCUUCGAUGUGCUCUAGGAAAUAUUUUAUCCGAGUGGGGCUAUAGUCUAGUAGAAGUUAAAAAAUUGUAGGGUUUAGUGAAAUAAGGAGAGAAAAAUAAAAUAAAAA
rnacentral:lncRNA from 1 species